rnacentral:rRNA from 1 species
GACGAACGCUGGCGGCGUGCUUAACACAUGCAAGUCGAACGAUGAAGCUGGAGCUUGCUCUAGCGGAUUAGUGGCGAACGGGUGAGUAACACGUGGGCAACCUGCCCCUCACUUCGGGAUAACUCCGGGACACCGGGGCUAAUACCGGAUAUGACCUCCUUGGGCAUCCUUGGCGGUGGAAAGUUUGUCGGUGAGGGAGGGGCCCGCGGCCUAACAGCUUGUUGGUGAGGUAGUGGCUCACCAAGGCGACGACGGGUAGCCGGCCUGAGAGGGCGACCGGCCACACUGGGACUGAGACACGGCCCAGACUCCUACGGGAGGCAGCAGUGGGGAAUAUUGCGCAAUGGGCGAAAGCCUGACGCAGCAACGCCGCGUGCGGGAUGACGGCCUUCGGGUUGUAAACCGCUUUCAGCAGGGAAGAAGCCGCAAGGUGACGGUACCUGCAGAAGAAGCACCGGCUAACUACGUGCCAGCAGCCGCCGUAA